UACGAAGGGGGCUAGCGUUGCUCGGAAUCACUGGGCGUAAAGCGCACGUAGGCGGAUUGUUAAGUCAGGGGUGAAAUCCUGGAGCUCAACUCCAGAACUGCCUUUGAUACUGGCGAUCUUGAGUCCGGGAGAGGUGAGUGGAACUCCGAGUGUAGAGGUGAAAUUCGUAGAUAUUCGGAAGAACACCAGUGGCGAAGGGCGGCUCACUGGCCCGGUACUGACGCUGAGGUGCGAAAGCGUGGGGAGCAAACA
rnacentral:rRNA from 1 species